rnacentral:rRNA from 1 species
UACAGAGGGUGCGAGCGUUAAUCGGAUUUAUUGGGCGUAAAGGGUGCGUAGGUGGUAUUUUAAGUUAUAUAUUAAAUACUUAAGCUUAACUUAAGAAAUGUAUAUAAUACUGGGAUACUAGAGUAUUAUUAAGGGAAGUGGAAUUUCCAAUGUAGCGGUGAAAUGCGUAGAUAUUGGAAGGAAUAUCAGUGGCGAAGGCGACUUUCUGGAUAAUUACUGACAUUGAGGCACGAAAGCGUGGGUAGCAAACAGG